UGGUUCUGGCAUCGAUGAAGAACGCAGCGAAAUGCGAUAAGUAAUGCGAAUUGCAGAAUUCCAGUGAGUCAUCGAAUCUUUGAACGCACAUUGCGCCCUUUGGUAUUCCGAAGGGCAUGCCUGUUCGAGCGUCAUUAUCACCCCUCAAGCCCCGUGCUUGGUGUUGGACGGCUGGUCGAGGCCCCCCUCGACCCCUCCUAAUGAUAAAGACGGCGACCUGUGGUUCCCCCGGUACACUGAGCUUUCCAUCGAGCACGUAUUGGACAAGGGCGCCCAGGACCCGGUCUUCUCCUCUCGCGAGGAAAUUUUUCGCAAGGUUGACCUCGGAUCAGGUAGGAAUACGCGCUGA
rnacentral:misc_RNA from 1 species